AGUUAGGUAAUGUAAAGUAGAAUCACAGAGAAACAGGCAGGCAGUGUAGCACACUAGUGUUAAGGCUUUGGACCUCAAACCCUGAGGCUGUGUAUUCAAAUCCCACCACUGACACUGUGGGACCCUGAGCAAGUCAUUACGCCCACCUGUGCUCCAACUGGGAAAAACAAAAGAAAUGGAACCAAUAGUAUCUCAAAUGUCAUACGUUGCUUUGGAUAAAGGCGUAUCGGCCAAAUAAAUAAAAUGUAGAAACAGCUUUAAGACACAUCACCAUGUAGAGCACCAAGUUUUAUUAUUUUACAGUGGACACAAAGGACUAUCCUGCAAAUUGUGCAGUCAACACAAGUAAAAGGCAGGAAUCUGAUAACCUUGAACCUUCUCAUACUCUGUCAUUGGAAGGUCCGGAUAAAUCAAGUCUAUCAGUGAAAUACCUCACUGAAAACAAAUUGCCCAAAAGAAAAGUGCACAGAAAGGUGUACCGUAUGUGUAUAUUAAAGGAGGAAGCAAAAUCAUCUGAACAGUCAAGUACGACAAGACAAGACUUUUAUUG